UACAGAGGUCUCAAGCGUUGUUCGGAUUCAUUGGGCGUAAAGGGUGCGUAGGUGGCGCGCUAAGUCAGGUGUGAAAUUUCGGAGCUUAACUCCGAAACUGCAUUUGAUACUGGCGUGCUUGAGGACUGGAGAGGAGACUGGAAUUCAUGGUGUAGCAGUGAAAUGCGUAGAGAUCAUGAGGAAGACCCGUGGCGAAGGCGGCUCUCUGGGACGGUACUGACGCUGAGACGCGAAAGCGUGGGGAGCGAACAGG
rnacentral:rRNA from 1 species